rnacentral:rRNA from 1 species
CGUAGGUGGUAGUGCAAGUCUGAGGUGGAAUCUUAGGGCUUAACCCUAAAAUUGCCUUGGAAACUGCAUUACUUGAGUCAGUGAGGGGAGGGUAGAAUUCCUGGUGUAGCGGUGAAAUGCGUAGAUAUCAGGAGGAAGGCCGGUGGCGAAGGCGGCCCUCUGGCGCUGAACUGACACUGAGGCGCGAAAGCGUGGGGAGCAAACAGGAUUAGAUACCCUGGUAGUCCACGCCCUAAACGGUGGGUACUAGGUGUAGGGCUCGUAAGGGUUCUGUGCCGAAGCGAAAGCAUUAAGUACCCCGCCUGGGGAGUACGGCCGCAAGGUUGAA